AACUAUGUAAUAAACGCAACACUUUUGUUUUUGCCCCCAUUUUUCAUGAGCUAAACUCAAAGAUCUAAAACUUUUUCUAUGUACACAAAAGGCCUAUUUCUCUCAAAUUUGUGAACAAUAUUUGAGAGAAAUAGGCCUUUUGAGUAAAUAGAAAAAGUCUUAGAUCUUUGAGUUCAACUCAUGAAAAAUGGGGCAAAAACAAAAGUGUUGCAUUUAUAAUUUUGUU